rnacentral:lncRNA from 1 species
GACAACACAUGCACGUGAAUGAUGCCUUGGCACUUGGUGGCCGUGAGCUCCAUCCCUCUUUUUGUUUUGAUGAGACCGCUGCUAGUGGAGCAGGUCUCUCCUUUUUUGCUUCUGUUUCCCAGUCAAUAGGUGUGUUUCCUCCCGGACGAACGACGGAGUAUAGCAAUUACACCGAGCAAACUCGUUUGCUCCUCUAGGCUACGGUGAGAUUAUUCUCGAUGAGGUAGUUUGCAGCAAAUUGGUUUUCAGACUCUAGUCGAAUUCGUUGAUGAAGGUACUUCUCUGGCCGCUCUUUGUCCACGAAAAGUCAGCGGAGGAUUUGUCCAAAGCGGUUUUAAUGUCCAACACUGUUAUGCCACUUCUGGUGCUGAUGGCAGGAGAGGCGACAGCGGCAAGGCCCAAGGCCUCGGCAGUAAGGUGUGGCGAUGACUUAUGGGCACGCAGGAGGAGCGUGCGGCAGGCUAGGGAUUCCAACAUCGGCAAGAGGUGCGCGGCCGUGGCGCGCAUUGAGGCAGGUGGCGGAGCAAGGCGCACGGCGGCGGGCACGACAGGCGCAACGCCACGCAGCAGCGAGAGCUGCGGCUGAAGGCGGAAGUGCGGCGGGUUGGAGCAUGCGGAGACGAAGGCGAAGGCAUGGCGCGACCGAUGCAGCCGGGCGAGUUGAAGCGAAAACUGCAGUUGUGGAGAAGACCAGCACGGGAGGAGACGGCAAGGCGGCCGGCGGCUUGGUGGGUGUGUUUGAGCGCAAACUACGCGGGGUAGGUGAGCGGAUGGCCGGAGCUCAUCGCAAUACAGCGGGUGGAGUCGACCGUAAGAGCGGCGGCUCAGAAGAUGUUGUGGCUCGGGGUUGGCUUAAUACAGGGCGACACCAUCCCAGAUCGAGAUGAAAUCGGAGCGAGGCGGAGGCGCGUCACCAGCAUGGUAGGGCAGCUUGCGACAAAGCCAGCAGCAGUCGCGACGAGACCAAGUCUGCCUCUGAACUGUGGUCUUUCUUCCAAUAGCUUCAUGUACGCGAUGUUUGAUACUGGACGCCAUUUUUGCUUUUAAUUUGAUAUGAGGGAACAGUCGCCUUAUCUUGUCGGGACGCUGUAGUUUGUUGUAGCUUUGGGAUUUGAUGGUUCAACAGCAACGCAACCAGAUGUGCCUUCGGUGUAGCAGAGGUAAUUACGCGUGACAGCUGCACCAUAGAAUCGAUCUCAGGUGACGAUGCAGCAGCGCAACAUAUGGUGGCUCUGGAGGAAAGCUCACGAACUCCGCGACACGUGGUAGAACUAGUAGAAAUAGAUCCUUUAUUCAGACUCAAAAAUCUCGUCGCAUCCUAGCGUGUAGAACAGCAAACCCUAAUUCAAAAUUGACAAGUCCCGGCUUUUCUUCAUCUGAACAAUCGCGAGCUUCCCGGUCCCUAAAGAAUUCCCUUAAAGAACACAAUUCCACCGUGCGAUCAGCCCCAUGGUGGGCGCCAACUUUCGUGGUUUUGUCACGACAGAUGUCCUCGUGAGAGAACUUAGGUGUGAGACCAUCGCAACCAUGUGGCGGCUUUAAGGGGUUGGUCGGAAUCGAGAGACGCGAGUUUACCCUAGUUCGGCCCCUCCGAUGGAGGUAAAAGCCUACGUCCUGCUUGUGUUCCAUUGAUGGAGAUGAUGAUCUUGAUUACAAUGGUGCGGAUUCGCCACCUCUAAUCUCGUGGGUGUCUAAUCUGUUUAUCUCAUGAUCUGUCUUGUCUAGACCUAAGCUGUGUAUCUUGUCCCUCUUGGGGCGCCUUACCCCUCCUUAUAUAGGUGGAAGGGGUAGGUUUACAUGUAGAGUCCUUCUAGGAGUAGGAAUAGGACUAGUCUCUCUUGAAUCCUAAUCCAGGUCUUGUUUCCUUCUUACGGGAGUCUUUCCUCUUCUUGGGCCUUCUAUGUGAGUCGGCCCUCCUGGCCUCUCUAUGAGUCGCCUUAUGCCAGGGUGUACGACGGGCCUUGGACCUUCGUCAUUUAUCUAUGCCGCAUGUGGGGACAAGUAUGAGUCGCCCGCCAGGUCACUGCUGAGUCGCCGGUGAGUCGCCAAGUCCUUUGGCGGGUCAUACUCCUAGUCGGGUUACACUGCGAGGUAUAUCCCCGACAGAGGUGGACACCCUAGGGAGGAAUCCUUCUCCACCAAGUCACCUCCUCCACCUAACACUUGGGCGCAUGGGCCCUAUUGGGUUUGGCUUCCUAGCACACUAGGGGCUGGUGCGCCACCUCCUAGGCCCAUGUGGCCCCUGGGAUGGGUGGGCCCCUCCGAUGGACCCCCGAAACCCUUACGGCACUCCGAGUACAAUACCAGAAAACCGGAAAAAAUUUCGAAACCCGAAUACCACUUUCCUAUAUAUAAUUUUGUACCUCUAGACCAUUCCGGAGCUCCUUGUAACGUGUGAGAUCUUAUCCGGGACUCCAAACAACCUUUGGUCACCAACAAAAUAACUCAACUAUACCUAUAUCGUCACCGAACGUUAAGUGUGUAGACCCUACGGGUUCGAGAACUAUGCAGACAUGACCGAGACACCUCUAUGGUCAAUAACAAGUAGCGGGACCUGGAUGCCCAUAUUGGUUCCCACAUAAUCUUCAAAUAUCUAUGUCGGUCGAACCAAAGAUGUCAAGGAUUCACCUAAUCCCAUAUGCAGUUCCCUUUGUCCAUUGGUAUAUUACUUGCUCGAGAUUCGAUCGUCGGUAUCUCCAUAUCUAGUUCAAUAUCGUUACUGGCAAGUCUCUUUACUCGUUCCAUAAUACAAUAUCCCGGGACUAACUCCUUAGUCACAUUUCUUCCAAGCUAGUUGUAAUGUUGUAUUACCGAGUGGGCCCGAGAUACCUCUCCGCCACACGGAGUGAUAAAUCCCAUUCUUGAUCCAUGCCAACUCCACGGACACCCACAAAUAUACUUGUAGAGCAUAUUUAUAGUCACCCAGUUACGUUAUGACAUUUGAUACGCACAAGGCAUUCCUCCAGUGUCAGUGAGUUGAAUGAUCUCAUGGUCAUAGGAAGAGAUACAUUGGCAUGUAGAAAGCAAUAGCAGUAAACUGGAUACGAUCAAACGCUAUGCUUAAGGUUUCGGUCUUGUCCAUCACAUCAUUAUCCUAAUGAUGUGAACCCGUUAUCAAAUGACAACUCAUGUCUAUGUCUAGGAAACCUUAGCCAUCUCUAAUCACCGGGAUAGUCUAGUAGAGGCUCACUAGGGACAUGAUGUUGUCUAUGUAUCCAUAACUAUAUUUGAGUUUCCAAUCAAUACAAUUAUAGCAAGGAUAAUAAAUGAUUAUCAUGAACAAGGACAUAAAAUAAUAACCACUUUAUUAUUGCCUCUAGGACAUAUUUCCAAUAGUCUCCCACUUGCACUAGAGUCAAUAAUCUAGUAUUACAAGGUAAUGAAUCUAACACCCAUAGAGUUCUGGUGUUAAUCAUGUUUUGCUCAUGGAAGUGGUUUAGUCAAUGGAUCUGCAACAUUAAGAUCCGUAUGUACUUUGAUAUAAUCGCGACUGGAAUUGAAAUGACGCUUUAUGUUGCUGGUCCUUUUGUGAAAUCGUGGUUCCGUGGCUAGAGCAAUCACUACAGGAAUCGGGCAUUUUGCCGCCAGGACGCUACAGA